UGCAGAGCAAGGUUUCGGCUGUCCCCAGAGUCUAAGGCUUCAUUGGAGGUCUAAUAGGAUGCGCCAAGGCUAAAAGAUUAAUUUAAGAUGGAACAACACUGCAGCUACAUCAUAUCUUUGUAGUAAUUUAUGCACUCAACUAAGGGACCUCAGA
rnacentral:lncRNA from 11 species